rnacentral:rRNA from 1 species
AGAGUUUGAUCCUGGCUCAGAACGAACGCUGGCGGCAGGCUUAACACAUGCAAGUCGAGCGCCCCGCAAGGGGAGCGGCAGACGGGUGAGUAACGCGUGGGAACAUACCCUUUGGUUCGGAAUAACUCAGGGAAACUUGAGCUAAUACCGGAUACGUCCGUAAGGAGAAAGAUUUAUCGCCAAAGGAUUGGCCCGCGUCCGAUUAGCUAGUUGGUGAGGUAACGGCUCACCAAGGCUACGAUCGGUAGCUGGUCUGAGAGGAUGAUCAGCCACAUUGGGACUGAGACACGGCCCAAACUCCUACGGGAGGCAGCAGUGGGGAAUAUUGGACAAUGGGCGCAAGCCUGAUCCAGCCAUGCCGCGUGAGUGAUGAAGGCCUUAGGGUUGUAAAGCUCUUUUGUCCGGGAAGAUAAUGACUGUACCGGAAGAAUAAGCCCCGGCUAACUUCGUGCCAGCAGCCGCGGUAAUACGAAGGGGGCUAGCGUUGUUCGGAAUCACUGGGCGUAAAGCGCACGUAGGCGGACCGUUAAGUCGGAGGUGAAAGCCUGGGGCUCAACCCCAGAACUGCCUUCGAUACUGGCGGUCUUGAGUAUGGUAGAGGUUGGUGGAACUCCGAGUGUAGAGGUGAAAUUCGUAGAUAUUCGGAAGAACACCAGUGGCGAAGGCGGCCAACUGGACCAUUACUGACGCUGAGGUGCGAAAGCGUGGGGGAGCAAACAGGAUUAGAUACCCUGGUAGUCCACGCUGUAAACGAUGAGAGCUAGCCGUUGGGGUGCAUGCACCUCAGUGGCGCAGCUAAC